GCAAUUCAAUAUAUUUCUAUCUUUUACAAACCAACGUAUUAUAAUGAUUUUCACAAACCAAAAAGAUUAUAAUUGUUGGAUGCAACCCAACAUGCUGUAUAAAUAUUACAUAUACCUCAUAAAAUGAUAAGCUACAUAAUAAUAAUAAUAAUACAACCCAAAAAGUUCAAGCCUACAUUACAUAAAACCUAUAAAUAUUAUAUACAACCCAUAAUUUGAAUACAACUGAAUAGGCUCAAAGCCUAUAAAUAUUAUAUGCAGCCCAUAAAAAAUAAUAUAUUCUCUAUGAAAAUUAAUGAAAAUUCUGAAGAAAGAAAAUAAAGAAAUUUGUUUUCUUUCACAUUUCCAAAUUGCAAAAAAAAAAAAAAAAAAAAUCAUUUAAAUCUAAAGAAACUACGAGAAAUGAAUCUCUUUAGCCAAAUAAAAAAUAUGUAUUACAAUUUGAAUCGGCCAUUAAAAAAUAAAGCGGGCAUCCUUCCUCGGCAUUUUAUCAAACACCUGGUAGGUAACAAUUUAUUUUUCUCUUCCUCAACAACAUUAUAUAAUAGAUUCCAGCCCGAAAAUCAACCCUAGAUUUUCUGGUUUACUGCACUCAGUAAUAUUGUACUGUUUUCUUUCCUUUUCCUAAUAUAAAACAAAUGAUUUCUUUACAUAUAUCAUCCCGUAUUAAAGAAUCACAACCCUUUACACGAUUAAAGAAAAGAUUUCUUUGAUAGAAAUAAAGGCGAAACAUUUCAAUCUGAAUCAGUCACGGAAAAAGAAAGCGGGCUGGAAGAUCCUCCUUACCAGGGAAGGGAGCGGAAAGCAAUGCCGAAUCGGAAAGAAACUGGAAUGGAGAAAAUCGAAGGCAAUGAAAGGCGAAACGUUUCUGUCUCAGAAGGCAAGGCAGAGUAAAUGAGGAGGAAAAAUACCGUUAGGGACAGCUGGCGACCAAUUCAGUAUUGUCGUUUCCAAUUUGGCCCCUGCCUUUUCCAGAAUUACCCUUACAUGAAUAACCUUUUUUGAAAAAAACGAUGCCGUUUGACUACUUGGAGGAAAAUUAUUUUGUUAGGCUGCUACGGACUGAGCUUAAAUUAAUUAAUUAC
rnacentral:lncRNA from 1 species